rnacentral:siRNA from 1 species
AAUCUAGGUUGCAUGGAAACUCGC